UGGGGAAUUUUGGACAAUGGGCGAAAGCCUGAUCCAGCAAUGCCGCGUGUGUGAAGAAGGCCUUCGGGUUGUAAAGCACUUUUGUCCGGAAAGAAAUCCUUGGCUCUAAUACAGUCGGGGGAUGACGGUACCGGAAGAAUAAGCACCGGCUAACUACGUGCCAGCAGCCGCGGUAAUACGUAGGGUGCAAGCGUUAAUCGGAAUUACUGGGCGUAAAGCGUGCGCAGGCGGUUUGCUAAGACCGAUGUGAAAUCCCCGGGCUCAACCUGGGAACUGCAUUGGUGACUGGCAGGCUAGAGUAUGGCAGAGGGGGGUAGAAUUCCACGUGUAGCAGUGAAAUGCGUAGAGAUGUGGAGGAAUACCGAUGGCGAAGGCAGCCCCCUGGGCCAAUACUGACGCUCAUGCACGAAAGCGUGGGGAGCAAACAGGAUUAGAUACCCUGGUAGUCCACGCCCUAAACGAUGUCAACUAGUUGUUGGGGAUUCAUUUUCCUUAGUAACGUAGCUAACGCGUGAAGUUGACCGCCUGGGGAGUACGGUCGCAAGAUUAAAACUCAAAGGAAUUGACGGGGUCAUAGCUG
rnacentral:rRNA from 1 species